ACAGUCACACAUUAGAUACCCCGGUAGUCCUAGCCGUAAACGAUACUCGCUAGGUGUCGGCCACGGUGCGACCGUUGUCGGUGCCGUAGGGAAGCCGUGAAGCGAGCCACCUGGGAAGUACGGCCGCAAGGCUGAAACUUAAAGGAAUUGGCGGGGAGCACCACAACGGGUGGAGCUUGCGGUUUAAUUGGAUUCAACGCCGGAAAUCUUACCGGGACCGACAGCAACAUGAAGGCCAGGCUGAAGACUUUGCCGGAUUAGCUG
rnacentral:rRNA from 1 species